AGCAUCAUAGAUGCUCCUACACUAAGCUGGCCCUGCUUCCUAUGUUAAAUAUGACACAUCUGAGGCCCUGGGAGAGGAAGUGAUUUGCCCAGUCUCACACAAUGAGUUAGAGCCAGAGUGAAGUCAAAACCCAGUCUCUGGAUGUACAAGCAAGGUCUUUUUCUAGUCCCAAAUGGCCUUUUGUGGUGGUCCAGGGACUGCCGGGAGCAGUCGUGGAACUGCAUCAUUUACAGAAGGUCUGAUCUUUGAGUCAGAGUCACAGAAGAAUUGAGAAUAGCUGUUGGGCCUUGGGCUGCUGGACUGAGAUGACAUGUGGACAUCAGGAUGACAAGGCUUCUGAAGCAGAGGCUGGGGGAACCAGAACUGCUGGACCAGCACCUGGGGGGGGGUUCUGGUUUCAAACAGCCCUCUUAGUACAGAGUCUGGAGGCCACCUCUGACCAGCUAGGUCACCUUACACUGUUCCCUACAGUAGGGGAUAAUGUAACCUUUGGGUUUUCCCUUUUGGGGGAAACUUAGGAAACCUUAGGAACCUUAUGCGAGGACUCAACCUGAGGCUGGAAUAGCUGGGAAAACAGAACUUUAGGUGGAGGAAGUGGCAUAAAAAAGUUGAAAAGUCUGGCUGGGCAUGAUAGCUCACACCUGUAAUCCCAGCACUUUGGGAGGCUGAGGUGGGCAGAUCACCUGAGGUCAGGAGUUCGAGACCAGCCUGGCCAACAUAGCAAAACCCCAUCUCUACUAAAAAUAUAAAAAAAUUAGCAGGCAUAGUGGCAGGUACCUGUAGUCCCAGCUACUCAGGAAGCUGAGGCAGGAGAAUCCCUUGAACCCGGGAGGCGGAGGUUGCAGUGAACCGAGAUCACACCACUGCACUCCAGCCUGGGCAACAGAGGGAGACUCCGACUCAAAAAAAAAAAAAAAAAAAAAAAAGUUGAAAAGUGCAGAGGAAUUUGAGAAAGGUAUGACCUGAAAAGGACACAGAGGGAAGGGAAGGAAGGGGAGAACAGAGAGGGUUAUAAGCAGGCCAGAGCCGGAUUGUGAAGUGCCUGUAUGCAAGGUAGGCAUUUGGAUUCUGCUCUGGGGAGCUAUUGAAGUAUUUUGAGCAGAGAUUGUGCCACUGUACUCCAGCCCAGGCGAUGGAGUGAGACUGUCUCAAAAAAACAAAACAAAAAAAUAAACUAGCUGAGGUCUACCAGUUGCCUGGGACUGAGGUAGUGGAAGAGUUGGGGUGGAGUAGGCCAAGAAAAUUUUUCGUUUUUUCGCUUUUUUGAAAAGAAUUUCAGAAUUACAAAAAUAUUAAAGAAAUAGUACAGAGUUCUUCUAUAUUCUAUCCAGCUUCCCCUUCUUGCAUAACCAUAGUACAAUUAUCAAAACCAGGACAUUCACACUGAUACAAAUUACUUACUUAUUCAAAUUUUUGAUUAUUCAAAAUUCAAAAGUAGAUUUAAAUUUCACCAAUUGUCCCACUAAUGCUGAGUGGGUUCUCAACAACUGCUGUGAUGAGCCCUGGUUCAAGCUGUUCUUUCUUGGUCUGUCUGUGAAGUCCUAUGAUGCUCCCUUACGAUAGGUCUUGUUUUUGGUGUUUUUUUUUAGAAAGAGUAUCACUCUGUCACCAAGGCUGGACUGCAGUGGCGCAAUCUUGGCUCACUGCAAGCUCCGCGUCCUGGGUUCACGCCAUUCUUCUGCCUCAGCCUCCC
rnacentral:lncRNA from 1 species